UGAAAGGAUUCCUGAAGGUUCUGGGCGU
rnacentral:piRNA from 1 species